AUCAUUUCUUGGCCUUUUGGCUAGAAUCAAGUGUGAUAUCUAUUAUUAUCAGCUUAAUACCUGAUGUCCUCUGUCCAAAGAAAAUAUAAUAAAUUGAUUCUUGGAGCAGAGAGUUAAAAUAGGAGCUUUCCCCUUCCACUCCACAUAUCAACCUAAAGGUAUUGAAAUGCCUCCAGGAAUGGUGCUCCUCCC